rnacentral:tRNA from 3 species
GGCAAGGUGGCCGAGUGGUUAUGGCGCUAGUUGUUCGCACUAGUUUCGAUUGAUUCGCGGGUUCGAAUCCCGUCCUUGUCA